rnacentral:miRNA from 1 species
GCAGACACAUUCCAGCCAAUCAGCAGCAGACCCUCCCUCCCAGACCCUCCCACCUCCUGGACAGCUCACUAAGAAUGCAGCUUCACAAUGAAUGUAAAAGAUGCUGUCCAGGAGGUGGGAGGGUCUGGGAGGGAGGGUCUGCUGCUGAUUGGCUGGAAUGUGUCUG